UACGGAGGGUGCGAGCGUUGUCCGGAAUCACUGGGCGUAAAGGGCGCGUAGGCGGCUCGGUAAGCGGGCGGUGAAAGCCCUGGGCUCAACCUGGGAAUUGCGAUGGAUACUGGCGAGCUAGAGUACGGUAGAGGAUGGUGGAAUUCCCGGUGUAGCGGUGAAAUGCGUAGAGAUCGGGAGGAACACCCGUGGCGAAGGCGGCCAUCUGGACCAGUACUGACGCUGAGGCACGAAAGCGUGGGGAGCAAACAGG
rnacentral:rRNA from 1 species